GACGAACGCUGGUGGCGUGCCUAAUACAUGCAAGUCGAACGCAGUGGGGACGGGUGAAUAACACGUGGGUAACCUCCCAUCAGAGGGGAUAACACUUGGAAACAGGUGCUAAACCGAUACUGAUGGAUGGACCAGCGGUGCAUUAGCUAGUUGGUGAGGGAACGGCUAACCAAGGCCACGAUGCAUAGCCGACCUGAGAGGGCUAUCGGCCAAACUGCGACUUAGACACGGCCCAGACUCAUACGGGAGGCAGCAGUAGGGAAUCUUCGGCAAUGGACGAAAGCCUGACCGAGCAACGCCGCGUAAGGCAAGAAGGUUUUCGGAUCGUAAAACUCUGUUGUUAGAGAAGCGGUAUCUAACCAGAAAGCCACGGCUAACUACGUGCCAGCAGCCGCGGUAAUAC
rnacentral:rRNA from 1 species